CCUACGGGAGGCAGCAGUGAGGAAUAUUGGUCAAUGGGCGGGAGCCUGAACCAGCCAAGCCGCGUGAGGGAAGAAGGUACAGCGUAUCGUAAACCUCUUUUGUCAGGGAACACAGGCGGGGACUAGUCCCCGGAUGAGGGUACCUGAAGAAAAAGCAUCGGCUAACUCCGUGCCAGCAGCCGCGGUAAUACGGAGGAUGCGAGCGUUAUCCGGAUUUAUUGGGUUUAAAGGGUGCGCAGGCGGCCUGUUAAGUCAGCGGUAAAAGCCCGGGGCUCAACCCCGGCGAGCCGGUGAAACUGGCGGGCUGGAGUUGGAGAGAGGUACGCGGAAGGCGCGGUGUAGCGGUGAAAUGCUUAGAUAUCGCGCAGAACCCCGAUUGCGAAGGCAGCGUACCGGCUCCACACUGACGCUGAGGCACGAAAGCGUGGGUAGCGAACAGGAUUAGAUACCCCUGUAGUC
rnacentral:rRNA from 1 species